rnacentral:misc_RNA from 1 species
AGCAGCCGCGGUAAUUCCAGCUCCAAUAGCGUAUAUUAAAGUUGUUGCAGUUAAAAGCUCGUAGUUGAAUUUCGGGGUUAGUAGGUUGGUCAUGCCUCUGGUAUGUACUGGUCUCACUGAUUCCUCCUUCCUGAUGAGCCGUAAUGCCAUUAAUUUGGUGUUGCGGGGAAUCUGGACUGUUACUUUGAAAAAAUUAGAGUGUUUAAAGCAAGCUAACGCUUGAAUACAUUAGCAUGGAAUAAUGAAAUAGGACGUUCGAUCCUAUUUUGUUGGUUUCUAGGAUUGGCGUAAUGAUUAAUAGGGAUAGUUGGGGGCAUUAGUAUUCAAUUGUCAGAGGUGAAAUUCUUGGAUUUAUUGAAGACUAACUACUGCGAAAGCAUUUGCCAAGGAUGUUUUCAUUAAUCAAGAACGAAAGUUAGGGGAUCGAAGACGAUCAGAUACCGUCGUAGUCUUAACCAUAAACUAUGCCGACUAGGGAUCGGAUGAUGUUAAUUUUUUAAUGACUCAUUCGGCGCCUUAC